GGCAGGGCUGGGGAUGUGACUGCCCCUUGUCCAGAGAGAGGCUGGCCCACAAUAGGUGUCCAAGGAGAAUCAGAAUGGGUUUACGCUAUAUUGUUAGAGGUGGUUAGAUUUCAAGCUGCCUUUAUGAAUAUGGCUCAGUGCUUUGGCAGAGACCAAAUAUGCCAGAGAGGAGAGUGUCUCGCCGGCUCUGCACUUUGAAUAUUCUCCUUCACGCAAAACAAAACGAAACAAAAAUGUUGCCUAUUUAUCACAAGAAGCUUUUGGGGUUGGCAGUAGAUGAAAACUGUGUGUGCUUAAGGGUCUCCAAGAAUACACUGACUCUUCCUCGCUUUAAUGAAAAGGGCCAGUAUCACAGAUCUGCAGUAGAAACUGUGUAAUUUUGAAUACCAACCUGGAGGUCAGCGUCUUCCUGAGGCUAAGCCCCCGCACCUGCUCAACCCCAGGUUUGAGGCUGGAAGCACCAGAUCGAAGCCUGGCAAAGGAGACGCCCUUUUAUUUCAGGCUGCACAGACAUAUUUCCUCAAGGGUACCCUUGUUUAGAGUGAUUUUUAGGAAACAUACUGCUAAACCCCCAGCUGCUGCUUCUAUACCGUAAUGUGUGGUUGGAGGUUAGGGCUCAGCUGCUUUCUCGAUGAGGACGUCAAUGAACCCAGACAGACGUUCAGGCUGCUGAGUCCGCACUGCUGCGGUGCUGGCUCUAUGUGGUGUAUUUUGUCUAGGAAAGAAAUGUCUAGCCAAGAACAUAGCUAACCCAAACCAAUCACACCCCAACACUCCUAACUUGUCUCCUAUCUGCACAUUUCCAUGUUAGGAAGGAAAGAAUGAAAACUGCCCGAUAUUAGAGUCUGCCCCGCCGAGGGUAGCACUCAAAUCUAGAUUUAGCCUUUUUUCCAGAGGCUUAGCUGUUUUUGGUCCUUUCAACUGGGUAAAAAGUUAAACUAAUUUCUCCACAAUGCCUUAGGGUGCUUUGUAUUCAAUAAAUAGUAAAUAAGUAACAUAAUUA